CAUGUGGUUUAAUUCGAAGCAACGCGAAGAACCUUACCAGGUCUUGCCAUCCCUUGACAACUCCAGAGAUGGAGCGUUCCCUUCGGGGACAAGGUGACAGGUGGUGCAUGGUUGUCGUCAGCUCGUGUCGUGAGAUGUUGGGUUAAGUCCCGCAACGAGCGCAACCCUUAUUACUAGUUGCCAGCAUUCAGUUGGGCACUCUAGUGAGACUGCCGGUGACAAACCGGAGGAAGGUGGGGAUGACGUCAAAUCAUCAUGCCCCUUAUGACCUGGGCUACACACGUGCUACAAUGGCGUAUACAACGAGUUGCCAACCCGCGAGGGUGAGCUAAUCUCU
rnacentral:rRNA from 1 species